rnacentral:rRNA from 1 species
CCUACGGGUGGCUGCAGUGGGGAAUAUUGGACAAUGGGCGAAAGCCUGAUCCAGCCAUGCCGCGUGUGUGAAGAAGGCCUUCGGGUUGUAAAGCACUUUCAGUGGGGAAGAAAGCCUUGGGGCUAAUACCCUCGAGGAAGGACAUCACCCACAGAAGAAGCACCGGCUAACUCCGUGCCAGCAGCCGCGGUAAUACGGAGGGUGCGAGCGUUAAUCGGAAUUACUGGGCGUAAAGCGCGCGCAGGCGGUCUGAUAAGCCGGUUGUGAAAGCCCCGGGCUCAACCUGGGAACGGCAUCCGGAACUGUCAGGCUAGAGUGCAGGAGAGGAAGGUAGAAUUCCAGGUGUAGCGGUGAAAUGCGUAGAGAUCGGGAGGAAUACCAGUGGCGAAGGCGGCCUUCUGGACUGUCACUGACGCUGAGGUGCGAAAGCGUGGGUAGCAAACAGGAUUAGAUACCCGAGUAGUC